rnacentral:rRNA from 1 species
GUCCACGGCCUUGCCACCCUGAACAAGCCCAAUGUCUGAUCUUGGAAGCUAAGAAGAGUCGGGCCUGGUUAGUCCUUAGAUGGGAGACCACCUAGGAAGACCAGGUGCUGUAGGCA